GACGAACGCUGGCGGCGUGCUUAACACAUGCAAGUCGAACGGAAAGGCUCCAGCUUGCUGGAGUACUCGAGUGGCGAACGGGUGAGUAACACGUGGGUAAUCUGCCCUGCACUCUGGGAUAAGCCUGGGAAACUGGGUCUAAUACUGGAUAUGACCUUUCUCCUUAUGAGGUUUGGUGGAAAGUUUUUCGGUGUAGGAUGAGCCCGCGGCCUAUCAGCUUGUUGGUGGGGUGAUGGCCUACCAAGGCGACGACGGGUAGCCGGCCUGAGAGGGUGAUCGGCCACAUGGGGACUGGGAUAGGGCCAAGACCCCAAGGGGGGGCAAGAGGGGGAAAUAGGGCACAGUGGGCGGAAGCCGGAGAAGGGGGCCCGCGGUGGGCGAUGAGGGCUUGGGGGUGUGAAACCCUUUUCAGGGGGGAAGGAGAGGAAGGGACGGUACCUAAAGAAGAAGACCGGGCUAACUAUGGG
rnacentral:rRNA from 1 species